rnacentral:lncRNA from 1 species
UUGAAUGUUAGGUAAGAUGGUGAAAAAUCUUGUUGGAUUCUUUGUCUUGUUGAUAGUAGUGUCAGCAUCUUAAAGAUCGAAAAAAUAGACAAGAGCUCAUUCUUUGAGACCGGCUAAUGGAAUGCCCAAGAAAAUUUGCAGACCUUGAUAGCGCUUCCGUAAUCCGUAGUACAACUAGCACGUGACAUGUUUGACUGUGUUCAUUUUAAUUUGAAGCAACAGACAGUGCUUGUAGCAAAAGGAUUCAUAGCAUAGAACAUAAUCUAAAUUUAGUAAUAAUUAAACAAUUGUGUUGUUCUCUAUGAUUUGUCAGAAUUAAACCUGAAACGAUUUGUAGCAAAAAUGUUUAAAUGAUAUUGUUCGCUUACCAGUACAUGUUGUGUUGUUCUCUAGCAUAUGUCAUGAAAAAAAUCAUUAAAUGAUUUUUAAUGAUUUUAAAAUGAUGAAGCGAAAAAAUGUUAAUAUUAUUCUGGUACUUGCAUGAGAAAUCUUCUUGCUAUGACAAAGUAGUGAACAGUAGAUAGUUUCAUACUGAAGCCUGUGUGUUUUAGACUAGACUGCAUGUUGCAGAUUGAAGCCUGUGUGUGAAUUAAACACAAUCAUUGGAAGGUUUUGAGCAAAAAACUUGCUCUCUUCUUCCAGGUUGAUAGUGUCAUAUCUAGAGAAGCCAAACCUGGGAAACCAGCAAAAGGAAGUACUAGGAAGAAAAAUGUCGUUGUAUCCAAUACUCUAGUUUCUGAAGUUUCAAAGGUUUAAAAAUUCAGUGUAGCUAUUAGUACCUUCAGAAAGAACUUAUUCCGAUGAUGAAAAAUAAAUUUGCAGAAACAGAGGAUGUUUUCAUGGAUGAAUUUGAUUAGUACGUAUUGCAUCAGUCGAUGAGAAAAGAAGCUGAGGUCAGUUUAACAAGUUCUUUGGGAUUAGCAAACACAUUUUCCAUUUUCGUGUAGGUUUUGUUAAUCGAACUACCAUUGACCUUUGAUUGAUAAAUAUGUUGGUGUUAAAAAAACAGGUUAUCAUAAGCAGUGAGGAAGGUCUAAGCAAAAGUUGUGGUGGUUCUUAUUGUGGCAGCCAGGAAGAAAUUACUGAUAACUGUGAUUUGAUUGGGACAGAAGACAUGAGUGAUAGCAUUCUUGUAGUGGUGGAAGAACUUUGUAUUCAUGGUUCUGUGAAAUUAAGUUUUAUACUGCAGCUAGGAACUUGAUAGUGUUAUUUACUGUUUGGUUGUUUGUAACUAAUUAAAAAUGUUCAGAUUCAUAGUUGUUAAAGUAACAAAGAAAAUGUAAAAAUCAUAGGAAGUUGCUACUGAUAUUGAACUAGCUGGUGCGAAUGGAAGACAUCAGGCAGAGACUGUUGACAAGGUAAAUCAUACCUUUAUUGUAAUCCUGUACUAUAAAUUUGAACUAUUUUGAGGAAAUAAAUGCACAUUCUGUCUGAACAGAGUGUUCAUU